AUCGAACGCUGGCGGCAGGCCUAACACAUGCAAGUCGAACGAGUGGCGGACGGGUGAGUAAUGUCUGGGAAACUGCCUGAUGGAGGUGGAUAACUACUGGAAACGGUAGCUAAUACCGCAUACCAACAGAUGUGCCCAGAUGGGAUUAGCUAGUUGGUGGGGGAACGGCUCACCAAGGCGACGAUCCCUAGCUGGUCUGAGAGGAUGACCAGCCACACGGGAACUGAGACACAGUCCAGACUCCGACGGGAGGCAGCAGUGGGGAAUAUUGCACAAUGGGCGAAAGCCUGAUGCAGCAAUGCCGCGUGUAUGAAGAAGGCCUUCGGGUUGUAAAGUACUUUCAGCGGGGAGGUGUUACCCGCAGAAGAAGCACCGGCUAACUCCGUGCCAGCAGCCGCGGUAAUUC
rnacentral:rRNA from 1 species